GACGAACGCUGGCGGCGUGCUUAACACAUGCAAGUCGAACGGAGCGAAUGAAAGCUUGCUUUUAUGAGCUUAGUGGCAAACGGGUGAGUAACACGUAGACAACCUGCCGACAGGAUGGGGACAACAUUCCGAAAGGAAUGCUAAUACCGAAUGAAGCGGAGGAGAGGCAUCUCUCCUCCGUGAAAGAUGGCCUCUAUUUAUAAGCUAUCACCUGUCGAUGGGUCUGCGUCUGAUUAGCUGGUUGGUGAGGUAACGGCUCACCAAGGCGACGAUCAGUAGCCGGUCUGAGAGGAUGAACGGCCACAUUGGGACUGAGACACGGCCCAGACUCCUACGGGAGGCAGCAGUGGGGAAUCUUCCGCAAUGGGCGCAAGCCUGACGGAGCAACGCCGCGUGAGUGAAGAAGGUCUUCGGAUCGUAAAGCUCUGUUGAUGGGGACGAACGUGCGAAGGGUGAAUAAUCCUUUGCAAUGACGGUACCUAUCGAGGAAGCCACGGC
rnacentral:rRNA from 1 species